AAGGACAAGCUGUGAUGGGGAGCGAAAUUUAGUAGCGAAGUUCCUGAUGUCACACUGCCAAGAAAAGCUUCUAGUGAGAAAGUAACUGCCCGUACCGCAAACCGACACAGGUAGUUGAGGAGAGAAUCCUAAGGUGUGCGAGAGAACUCUCGUUAAGGAACUCGGCAAAAUGACCCCGUAACUUCGGGAGAAGGGGUGCUGACCGCAAGGUCAGCCGCAGUGAAUAGGCCCAAGCGGCUGUUUAUCAAAAACACAGGUCUCUGCAAAAUCGAAAGAUGACGUAUAGGGGCUGACGCCUGCCCGGUGCUGGAAGGUUAAGAGGAGAGGUUAGCGCAAGCGAAGCUUUGAAUUGAAGCCCCAGUAAACGGCGGCCGUAACGAUAACGGUCCUAAGGUAGCGAAAUUCCUUGUCGGGUAAGUUCCGACCCGCACGAAAGGCGUAACGAUUUGGGCGCUGUCUCAACGAGAGACUCGGUGAAAUUAUAGUACCAGUGAAGAUGCUGGUUACCCGCGACAGGACGGAAAGACCCCAUGGAGCUUUACUGCAGUUUGAUAUUGCGUGUUUGUAUCACAUGUACAGGAUAGGUAGGAGCCGAAGAUACCGGGACGCCAGUCUCGGAGGAGGCAACGGUGGGAUACUACCCUUGUGAUAUGACCACUCUAACCCGCUGCUCUUAGCGAGCAGGGAGACAGUGUCAGACGGGCAGUUUGACUGGGGCGGUCGCCUCCAAAAAUGUAACGGAGGCGCCCAAAGGUUCCCUCAGAAUGGUUGGAAAUCAUUCGUAGAGUGUAAAGGCAGAAGGGAGCUUGACUGCGAGACCUACAAGUCGAGCAGGGACGAAAGUCGGGCUUAGUGAUCCGGUGGUUCCGCAUGGAAGGGCCAUCGCUCAACGGAUAAAAGCUACCCUGGGGAUAACAGGCUUAUCUCCCCCAAGAGUUCACAUCGACGGGGAGGUUUGGCACCUCGAUGUCGGCUCAUCGCAUCCUGGGGCUGUAGUCGGUCCCAAGGGUUGGGCUGUUCGCCCAUUAAAGCGGUACGCGAGCUGGGUUCAGAACGUCGUGAGACAGUUCGGUCCCUAUCCGUCGCGGGCGUUGGAAAUUUGAGAGGAGCUGUCCUUAGUACGAGAGGACCGGGAUGGACACACCGCUGGUGUACCAGUUGUUCUGCCAAGAGCAUCGCUGGGUAGCUAUGUGUGGACGGGAUAAACGCUGAAAGCAUCUAAGCGUGAAGCCCCCCUCAAGAUGAGAUUUCCCAUCACUUUAAGUGAGUAAGGCCCCUGAGAGAUGAUCAGGUAGAUAGGUUGGGAGUGGAAGUACAG
rnacentral:rRNA from 1 species